AUUCCCUGCCCGAUGAUUUUUGAAUGGCUGCAGUAUUCUGACUGUACAAAGGUAGCAUAAUAAUUAGCUUCUUAAUUAGAAGCUGGUAUGAAUGGGUUAAUGAGAUUAAUAUUUUAUUUAUUUUAAUUAUAGAAUUUAAAUUUUGAGUUAAAAUGCUUAAUUAUAUUUUUGGGACGAUAAGACCCUAUAGAACUUUAAAUUAAUUGUUUUUAAUAUUUUUAUUUUAAAUUAUAUUAAUAUUUUUAAUUUUUAUCUGGGGUGGAUAUUAAAUUUAACUUUAAUUUUCUUAAUCAUAAAUUUAUGUUAAUAUUGACUUUAAUGUUAGUUAUAAGAUAAAGUUACCUUAGGGAUAACAGCGUAAUUUUAAUGGGGAGUUCUUAUCUAUAUUAUAAUUUGCGACCUCGAUGUUGAAUUAAGGAAAGAUUUAGGGGCAGUACCUUAAAUACUAAGUC
rnacentral:rRNA from 1 species